AAAAAAAAAAAAAAAAAAAAUAAACAAAAAAGUUCCAAUGGUUGAGAGUCGUUAAUCGUUACUUCUCUGUUUCAGAUUUCGGAAGCGUAAGAAAUGUUACGCGCCAUGACGAUCGACAGCUUCUCCCUGAGAAAAUUGGUGUCCGGAAUCGAGACUCAGCAGAGACCCUGCAAUCUGGAGUCGUCUUCUACACCCAGCCGCUUUCAGUGGAAAUCGAUAUCGAAAUCGAAAUUUCCUUUGGUUCCACGGACCAAAUCUACGAAGCUUCGCAUUGGAUUUCAUUCUAAGCCAGUCCAUAGCCUCAAUAAGCUCCCGUUUAUACGAGUUCGCUGCUCCGUCUCCGCCCUCUUUCACUGCACAGUUAACAGGUGAACCUCUCAAACGUAAGCUAAAUUCCAUCAUUGCUGCACAUCAUUCCUUGUCCUAUAAAGAGGUCUGGGAUGCCAUCAAGAUUCUUGAUGCUGCUGAUGUGGACAAACCAGAAGCCUCAUCAGAAAUAGUGAAGAUUUACUCGCAAAGGGUUGUGUCAAAGUCGCUAGCAGGGAAGCCUGAGGGUUGGAACAGGGAGCAUUUGUGGCCUCGCUCUUAUGGGCUCAGAAGAGGUCCAUCCCUGACCGAUUUACAGAAUAUCCAUCCAGCAGAUGCAAAUGUGAAUUCCUCACGGGGAAACAAAUAUUUUGGAGAAUGCUAAGUUAACUCCCCAGAAUGUAUGAAGCCAGCCUACAAAGAAGCUGCUUAUGAUACUGAAACAGACAAGGAAAAAUGGGCACCACCUAAGCGCGUUAGAGGAGAUAUAGCACGGGCAGUAAUGUAUAUGGCAGUCUGUUAUGGGUUCCACCUUUCUGAUUCUCCAGACAAGGGAUUCAGGAGUAGGUGAUGGGGCUGUGUUUUCGCUUCUGUGGAUCAGUGGGAUGGGGCCUGAAACUAAAAUAAUCCAGGAACAAAAAUUUGUAUUUUUUUUUCUUAAUAUACAUAAAAAUGGUUGUUCAUAUUUUAAAAGAUUCAUCCAUCUUCUGUAGGAAAUAAGGAGAUGGGCUUAAUUUCCACAUUGUUAAAGUGGAAUAAGAGUGAUCCGCCGUCAAGAGAAGAGAAAUUGAGAAAUGAAAGAAUAUGCAAGUUUUAUCAGCACAAUAGAAUUCCGUUUGUUGAUCAUUCAGAAUACGCUGAUCUAAUUUGGAAGUAAAUUUCUCCAACUUGUGAAAGCUCAAAGUUCCUUAAGAGGAACAAUGACCAAUGUCAGUCACAACCACAAGGUAAGAGUUUCUUAGAAGGAGAUAUUCUUUUGUCCUAAGCGAUCUCAAUCUUGGAAGAGGAAACCAUGAAGGUAGCAAUGCAUAAUAUGAGAUUUUGGCUUGUAUUUAUUCAUGAUGAAAUAUGUACAAGAUAAUGUUUCAUGGAAGUUAUAGUUCUUAAUGAAUACCCAAAAGCUUUGACA